UUAGUACUUCCUCCGUUUAACAAAAGAUGUCUAAAAUUUUUCAAAAUUUGGAUGUAUCUACACAUGACUUAGUGUAUAGAUGCAUUCAAAUUUGAUCAAAGUUGAGACAUUCUUUGUUGAACGGAGGGAGUAUUAA
rfam:Brachypodium distachyon strain Bd21 chromosome 5, whole genome shotgun sequence.